rnacentral:rRNA from 1 species
UACGUAGGGUGCAAGCGUUAAUCGGAAUUACUGGGCGUAAAGCGUGCGCAGGCGGUUUUGUAAGUCUGACGUGAAAUCCCCGGGCUUAACCUGGGAACUGCAUUGGUGACUGGCAGGCUUUGAGUGUGGCAGAGGGAGGUAGAAUUCCACGUGUAGCAGUGAAAUGCGUAGAGAUGUGGAGGAAUACCGAUGGCGAAGGCAGCCCUCGUCG